UACGUAGGGUGCAAGCGUUAAUCGGAAUUACUGGGCGUAAAGCGUGCGCAGGCGGUUCGCUAAGACAGAUGUGAAAUCCCCGGGCUUAACCUGGGAACUGCAUUUGUGACUGGCGGGCUAGAGUAUGGCAGAGGGGGGUAGAAUUCCACGUGUAGCAGUGAAAUGCGUAGAGAUGUGGAGGAUUACCGAUGGCGAAGGCAGCCCCCUGGGCCAAUACUGACGCUCAUGCACGAAAGCGUGGGGAGCAAACAGG
rnacentral:rRNA from 1 species